UGUCCCUGUAGCUCAGCGGAUAGAGCACCGGCCUCCGGAGCCGGGUGCGAGGGUUCGAUUCCCUCCAGGGACGU
rnacentral:tRNA from 1 species